rnacentral:lncRNA from 1 species
GAGCUCCCUGGAGGAUGUCCCUGCUCUGAAAAUGACACAAUUAGCCCAUAAUCGGAGUUAGCAGCCAGCCUCCUGGCCCCAUCUGCCUUUGCUCACGGCUCCUUGGGUUUUAUUGACUUCAAAGGGAUCUCCCUGUGAAGAUAUGCUGAGCUGGAACAUGGAGGAGAAUGAGAAUCCUGCAGAGCUCUGGGUUGGAAGGGAAGGGGAUUGGAUGCCAAUCUUGGCUUGUGACCUCCCUGGCUCUUUAGGUAAGUGGCCGCUACUUCCUUUCACUCUAGGUAUUUGAUGCUCUGGUCUGGACACUUGGGAGGUGCUGGUAAAUGUCUGUUCCAUUGAAUUGAAUCUGCCCUGCACACAUGCAGAGCUCUCUUCUCCAA